rnacentral:rRNA from 1 species
UACGUAGGGCGCGAGCGUUGUCCGGAAUUAUUGGGCGUAAAGAGCUCGUAGGCGGCUGGUUGCGUCUGCUGUGAAAUCCCGGGGCUUAACCCCGGGCGUGCAGUGGAUACGGGCCGGCUGGAGGCAGGCAGGGGAGAAUGGAAUUCCUGGUGUAGCGGUGAAAUGCGCAGAUAUCAGGAGGAACACCAAUGGCGAAGGCAGCUCGCUGGGACGGUACUGACGCUGAGACGCGAAAGCGUGGGGAGCAAACAG